GACGAACGCUGGCGGCGUGCCUAAUACAUGCAAGUCGAGCGAAUUUUUUAGAAGUGCUUGCACUUCUUUAGAGUUAGCGGCGGACGGGUGAGUAACACGUAGGCAACCUGCCCAUAAGACUGGGAUAACUAGCGGAAACGCUAGCUAAUACCGGAUAGGCAACGGAGUCGCAUGACUGUGUUGAGAAAGGUGGAGCAAUCUACCACUUAUGGAUGGGCCUGCGGCGCAUUAGCUAGUUGGUGAGGUAACGGCUCACCAAGGCGACGAUGCGUAGCCGACCUGAGAGGGUGAUCGGCCACACUGGGACUGAGACACGGCCCAGACUCCUACGGGAGGCAGCAGUAGGGAAUCUUCCGCAAUGGACGAAAGUCUGACGGAGCAACGCCGCGUGAGUGAUGAAGGUUUUCGGAUCGUAAAGCUCUGUUGCCAGGGAAGAACGCUUAUGAGAGUAACUGCUCAUGAGGUGACGGUACCUGAGAAGAAAGCCCCGGCUAACUACGUGCCAGCCGCCGCCGUAA
rnacentral:rRNA from 1 species